rnacentral:rRNA from 1 species
UACGUAGGGUGCAGGCGUUAAUCGGAAUUACUGGGCGUAAAGCGUGCGCAGGCGGUUUGCUAAGACAGGUGUGAAAUCCCCGGGCUUAACCUGGGAACUGCGCUUGUAACUGGCAAGCUGGGGUGUGGCAGAGGGGGGUGGAAUUCCACGUGUAGCAGUGAAAUGCGUAGAGAUGUGGAGGAACACCGAUGGCGAAGGCAGCCCCCUGGGCUAACACUGACGCUCAUGCACGAAAGCGUGGGGAGCAAACAGG